rnacentral:rRNA from 1 species
GACGAACGCUGGCGGCGUGCCUAAUACAUGCAAGUAGAACGCUGAAGAGAGGAGCUUGCUCUUCUUGGAUGAGUUGCGAACGGGUGAGUAACGCGUAGGUAACCUGCCUUGUAGCGGGGGAUAACUAUUGGAAACGAUAGCUAAUACCGCAUAACAAUGGAUGACCCAUGUCAUUUAUUUGAAAGGGGCAAAUGCUCCACUACAAGAUGGACCUGCGUUGUAUCAGCUAGUAGGUGAGGUAACGGCUCACCUAGGCGACGAUACAUAGCCGACCUGAGAGGGUGAUCGGCCACACUGGGACUGAGACACGGCCCAGACUCCUACGGGAGGCAGCAGUAGGGAAUCUUCGGCAAUGGGGGCAACCCUGACCGAGCAACGCCGCGUGAGUGAAGAAGGUUUUCGGAUCGUAAAGCUCUGUUGUAAGUCAAGAACGAGUGUGAGAGUGGAAAGUUCACACUGUGACGGUAGCUUACCAGAAAGGGACGGCUAACUACGUGCCAGCAGCCGCGGUAAUACGUAGGUCCCGAGCGUUGUCCGGAUUUAUUGGGCGUAAAGCGAGCGCAGGCGGUUUGAUAAGUCUGAAGUUAAAGGCUGUGGCUCAACCAUAGUUCGCUUUGGAAACUGUCAAACUUGAGUGCAGAAGGGGAGAGUGGAAUUCCAUGUGUAGCGGUGAAAUGCGUAGAUAUAUGGAGGAACACCGGUGGCGAAAGCGGCUCUCUGGUCUGUAACUGACGCUGAGGCUCGAAAGCGUGGGGAGCGAACAGGAUUAGAUACCCUGGUAGUCCACGCCGUAAACGAUGAGUGCUAGGUGUUGGAUCCUUUCCGGGAUUCAGUGCCGCAGCUAACGCAUUAAGCACUCCGCCUGGGGAGUACGACCGCAAGGUUGAAACUCAAAGGAAUUGACGGGGGCCCGCACAAGCGGUGGAGCAUGUGGUUUAAUUCGAAGCAACGCGAAGAACCUUACCAGGUCUUGACAUCCCGAUGCUAUUUCUAGAGAUAGAAAGUUACUUCGGUACAUCGGUGACAGGUGGUGCAUGGUUGUCGUCAGCUCGUGUCGUGAGAUGUUGGGUUAAGUCCCGCAACGAGCGCAACCCCUAUUGUUAGUUGCCAUCAUUCAGUUGGGCACUCUAGCGAGACUGCCGGUAAUAAACCGGAGGAAGGUGGGGAUGACGUCAAAUCAUCAUGCCCCUUAUGACCUGGGCUACACACGUGCUACAAUGGUUGGUACAACGAGUUGCGAGUCGGUGACGGCAAGCUAAUCUCUUAAAGCCAAUCUCAGUUCGGAUUGUAGGCUGCAACUCGCCUACAUGAAGUCGGAAUCGCUAGUAAUCGCGGAUCAGCACGCCGCGGUGAAUACGUUCCCGGGCCU